AAUUUUGGCACCGAUUUUCUAACCAGUGUUUUCUUUUUUACCAAUGGCUUGAUAAUCUGAUAUGCUCAUUUGAAUUGCAGAGAAAGAUGGAGAAAUCAAAGACAGGCAUCUUCUCUGUGUACCUAAAGCUGUAUCCGGGUAAAUAUGAGGUAAGUUGAUUUCCGGGCAUCAACAAUUUUUUAUGCGUUGUCCAUUGAAUUAUGUAUGCUUAAAUGCCUCCUAUAAUAUUUAACAGAUCAAGUUUAUUGUUGAUGGCAUAUGGAAAGUUGAUCCUCUACGCCCCAUUGUCCACAAUAAUGGCUAUGAAAAUAACCUUCUGAUUAUCACAUGAAGGCACAAAAUUAUGCAGGCAGUAGCACGAGAAGGAUGAUCAUUUUACAAACCUUUAGUUUGCAUCAUGUAUUUUACUAAUUAUAAUUCUUUUGACAUCACCCUAUUUCUGUUCUUUGUAUAGUGUAUAUUGGCCGUGAUGGAUCAAUUGUUAUUCUUAGACCAAACUCUCAUUUGGUCUGUCUGUUACUUAUUUUUGUCGGUAUGGAUGGGUCUUGUGGUUGGGUCUCUCUUUUGCACUUGUUUUUGUUUAUUGAAACGAAAUACAAACUUAGAAGGG
rnacentral:lncRNA from 1 species